CGGGGGAGCAAGCGUUGUUCGGAUUUACUGGGCGUAAAGGGCGCGUAGGCGGCGUGACAAGUCACUUGUGAAAUCUCCGGGCUUAACCCGGAGCGGCCAAGUGAUACUGUCGUGCUAGAGUGCGGAAGGGGCUACUGGAAUUCUCGGUGUAGCGGUGAAAUGCGUAGAUAUCGAGAGGAACACCUGCGGCGAAGGCGGGUAGCUGGGCCGACACUGACGCUGAGGCGCGAAAGCCAGGGGAGCGAACGGGAUUAGAUACCCCGGUAGUCCUGGCCUUAAACGAUGGAUACUUGGUGUCCGGGGUUACAUAGUCCCCGGGUGCCGGCGCUAACGCAUUAAGUAUCCCGCCUGGGGAGUACGGUCGCAAGACUG
rnacentral:rRNA from 1 species